GGCAUAGCUCAAUGGUUGGAGCAUCUGCUUCAUAUUCAGAAGGUCCAGGUUCAACCCCCAGUGAAGUCA